GAUGAACGCUGGCGGCGUUCCUAAUACAUGCAAGUCGAGCGAACAGACGAGGAGCUUGCUCCUCUGACGUUAGCGGCGGACGGGUGAGUAACACGUGGAUAACCUACCUAUCUGACUGGGAUAACUUCGGGAAACCGGCGCUAAUACCGUAUAAUAUAUUUAACCGCAUUGUUCAAUAGUGAAAGACGGUUUUGCUGUCACUUAUAGAUGGAUCCGCGCCGCAUUAGCUAGUUGGUAAGGUAACGGCUUACCAAGGCAACGAUGCGUAGCCGACCUGAGAGGGUGAUCGGCCACACUGGAACUGAGACACGGUCCAGACUCCUACGGGAGGCAGCAGUAGGGAAUCUUCCGCAAUGGGCGAAAGCUUGACGGAGCAACGCCGCGUGAGUGAUGAAGGUCUUCGGAUCGUAAAACUCUGUUAUUAGGGAAGAACAAAUGUGUAAGUAACUAUGCACGUCUUGACGGUACCUAAUCAGAAAGCCACGGCUAACUACGUG
rnacentral:rRNA from 1 species